ensembl:lncRNA
UGCCGCUGUGUCCUCCUGAAUCAUACUGAGUAUUUGUAACGUGUUCCUGCCCUAAUAGAUGCUCUCUAUGAAUAGAGAGAGUGCCUAUUUACUCUGAAAUACUUGGCACGGCGAGCGGAGGCUGCAGCGUGGAAGAAGCGGCUGUUAAGUCCCCGCUGCCCGCCGGCUGCUGUCAUUGCCCAGCACGUCCCCGAGCCCUUGUCUUGCCGGGCUCUGUCCUGCCAGGACAAGGGAAUGGAUCUAUGUGCCAAACCCAAACGCUGCGGUCUGCUGGUGUUCGAGUCCCAAACCUGUGGUUUGGAUUAAAUCAUUACAGAUAACUGCUUCUUUCUAUUUUUAACCCAAAGGAUGAGUCUUCCCCCACCUCCCCUUGUGCCAUUUGAAUAUUCGGUGAUGUCACACUGUUUGACCUCAGCUUUAGCACGAGGAAUGCCUGCGUUUUGGCUUUUGACCUGUAGGAGUAUGUCAGUGCUUAAUGAGGGAGGCUGCCCUAAUGCAUCUCAUUAGGCAAAUGAAACCGAAUGGAUAUCUUGAAAGAUCCCAUCGUUACGUGUAACCCCGCUGCCAUAUCCUGCUUCUUUCCAUCCUUCUGUAAAACAUUUGCACACUUAACACCAAUGCUACAGUAGCACAGUUUAUUUGCACCAGAUCUGUGGGGAAAAAAAGCCAUGUUGAGCUCCGGCAGGCUGAACUGUAUGGGACAACUGUACUUCUGUUCUGCCAGCCCUGUGAUUUGGCUGCUAAAGUCAUUUGGAUGUCAUCGCUUCUACUUGAAAUUCUCCAUAAAAAGAAAUGAGAUUGGCUCUGAAAGACAAGAAGCCCUGGAGGAACAGUUAUGGUGAAGAAGUGGUAUCUUGUUCUAGCACUCGAACCUGAGAAAGCAUUAGUUGUUCCAACACCUUAGUCACCCACUGAGAUCUUACCAAACCUCUGGUUUUGUUUUCCUCGAUUCUUGGACUCACUAUACAAAGGUUUUGAAUGACACCUUGAUGCAUUUCUUCAGGAAAGAGAUGUAUGGAAAGACACCCAGGAAUGACAAGCUUAUAUUCUGUGAGAUCAGUCCCUGAAAGACUGAGGGCAGAACUGAUGGCUAGAAAAUUAAGGAGAAGAAUAAGGAAACAACUGUAUCAUCAUCAGGGAGAUGUAGUGUACAGAUGAGUAUUAUCGUCACACAAGAGUGAGUGUCGUUGUCAUGCACUCUGAGCAUGGGUUUACUCUGGGACCAAGAGUCUGAAGCUCAUUUCCCCUUGUUUCUUCCUGCAACACUGCCACAAUAGCACUUGCUGUUCGCAUCAUGUGAGGCUUGCACUGUUCUCCUACCUACUAAUACUGCAUGCAGCUGUGUGCAGCCUUUCAUGUUUACUUCAGCUUGGAGCUGUAGGUCUGCUGGAAAAUCCAGCCACGAGACACUUUAAGUAGCAGUUUGAUCUUUGUCAGUGAGUUUGACUCAAUUUAGACGCAUGCCAUUGAGAGGUCAUACCUGGCCUGGAAUAUGUUUAGGGAUAUCAGAACAUUUUAAGGGGGAAAGACGGACAUUGUAACUAGCCAGUGUUUGAUUCCAGCAGUGAGUCUUGAAAAUGGGGAUGUUUAAUAGACCGUGAGGAAGUUAAAAGGAAGGAUUAGACAACUGGUGAGGUCAAGUGAACUUAAAUAAUCAUAAAUUUAUAGUGUAGUGCUGUAAUUAAAAAUGUUCCUUCACUCCCAUGGUUGGCCACGGCAUCAGAGCUAUGUCUGGUGGACACGGUGGACACAGACUUAAUCCUGAAAGGGCUUCUCUUACUUGUCCAGAUGAUAUGAAAGCUUUAAAAUUGGUGUAUGUGAUUAAACUAAAAAGACAAAUGAGAGAAAAAAACUGAAUCAUUAAGAAUCUAGAAUAAAUAAUGAGGCCCCAUCUGGAGUACUGCA